AUCUGAAAGAACAAUCAGAUAAGGCUGAUUUCUGAAGACAGUUCAGAAUGAACAGAUCUCAGUUGCCCCCAGUGAUAACCAUCAUUGUCAACAGGAGGCAUUCCAGAAUGCAAUGGAUGAUGAGUAUUUAGAAGAAGAAUGAACCCUGAAGGAGAAUAAAGCUCAAGCCUCAGAGACCAUCACUGAACACCAGAAGGACAGAAUAAUUUAAGGUUACGGUGGGGAAUUUCAUGCACACAGAAAACCUAAAUCUGUGAAAAAUGGAAUGAUAGAACUCAGGAGUUACAGUCUACAAAAUGAAAAUUAAAAUCAUUUAAAGGCCUUGGCCCUAAUGGGCUUUUGUCCAGGUUAGUGAACAUUCUGUCAGAGUUCAGCAACACUAAGUGCUUUUUCAUAGGGAAGACUCAGAACUGCAAUAUUUUGCAAAGAUGAUAAUCAAAGUUGAGGAGUCUGGAUUACACCGGUAUGCAGAAAUGCUAAUAGGUGACUUCUGUAAGCCAUAUCACUUAAAAGUGCUAUCAGUCUCUCUACACACCAUCUUCAGCUCUCAAUCUUUGAAGAAAGUAUUGAUUUUUGGCAGGGUGUGACAACUUGGUUUUACAUGACUCAGGUACAUUGUACAAAGCUCACUGAGCAAGGCAAAAUUCCAGGCAGUUGCUAUGAGAACCAACUGUUUACAAAUAUAAAAUUUAUAAUAUUUUUUCUAGUUUACGGGUACUAACACCUCACCUGUUGUACAAUGCUGCUGAUUUUUUAAAUUAGUAGUUAACUUUGUGAUCAUCUAAGUUGGUAUUGAUAGUUUAACGAACUUCAAAAAUAUAAAAAAAAUACUAUUAUCAUUAAUCAAGGAUAAUGAGCUUUGAAUGAGCAGAUGCUAAUGAAUUAAUGGUCAGAGGUUUUUUUAUGUGCUUGUAAUUGCUACUGCAAAAUACUUGUUAUUCCUCAUCUAUUCCUCCUUUAAAUAAUUUGCUCUGCCUACUAAACCUGGAUAUUCAACCUAAACACAUUGGCUCCUAUCCCCCUGCUGGUGCCAUUGUUGCUUUCAUGGGGUUUGGAUGAAGGCCUUAGUCUGUUUUUACUCUCAUAACUGGAGCAGAGUUUAAUUUCAGAGAGUUUCCAAAUAGGAGCUCCGUAAACAUAUUUUUCCCCCAGCAGAGAAGAGAAACAUGGAAUUGCUGUAGGUUGAGUCAAACUAUACUGUUAUUUGUGAGUGUGUGGGCAACAUUUCUUUUGUUUAAAUCUAAGAAUAUCUUAAAAUUAUAUAACUUUUACUAGUGUCUGACCAGACUUCAGUAGAACGUAGUGAAUCUCGUAGUCCAGUAGAAUUUAUCAGUGUUGAUAGAUCAAAUUCAGGUGCUGAUGAGUUAAUGAACAGGUUUGUUAUUAUGGAUGUCUGUGAGUAAUAAAGAAGAUAAAUCAAAACAUA